rnacentral:tmRNA from 1 species
GGGGUUGACUGGAUUUGACAGCGGGCAGAAAUGGUAUGUAAGCAUGCAGUGCGUCGGUGAUUUGCACUUAAAUCUCAGUUAUCAAAAUUUUAUCUGGCGAAAAUAAUUACGCUCUUGCUGCUUAAUCGAAUCAUAGUAGAUUAGCUUUAUCUCUGCACUAGGUGCGGAGACGAGACAUCACUCGGUUGCUGUUGUUCCGAAGCGUUCCGGUUUAGUGGUGCAGUUAUAUCGGAAAUAGUUUGGGUCCCGUCUCGUGGCUCUUGCGAAAAUUUAGAGACUAAGGUACUGGUUGGUGGCUUCGGUCUUGCCGUACUCGAAAAAUUAGGCGAAGAUAAGCAUGUAGAAAGCUUAUGAUUUCCUCGUUUGGACGAGGGUUCGAUUCCCUCCAGCUCCACUU